AAAUGUAGGCUAUAAUAAGCACAUCACUAAUUAAAGGGACAGGGCGGAGCGGCAGAGAGCUGAAGUGUAAUGUCGCUCGAUGUCACUUUCACUCUCUCAACCUUGAAGUAACGGCAACAGAAGAAACAGAGGCAGUGUUUUUGAACAAAACACAAUGAAUCCUGAAAUAGACGACGUAAUGAGGCUCUGCUCUCAGAUAAUUGAGACUCGGAUUAAAGCAGCCGUAAAGACCUCAGUCAGAGGAGCUAUGACGAGCGGAGGGGCUUUUGUAGGGGGGCUAGUCGGAGGUCCACCCGGUGCGUUUGUUGGUGGUGCUCUGGGAGUUGCUGCGGGAUGGUGGAUGAGUGAAGAUUUGAAGCCUCUCCCUCAGAUCAUAAUGAAGAUGCCUCUUCAGGAGAAGCAAGAACUGUUCUCUAAUGUCAUGGAAGUACUGGGCAAUCUGGAUUGGGCUGAAGGGGCUGAACUUAUUUCAGCAGUAAUGGGUAAUUUCUCUCUGGAGGCGCAAGUGUGUGCUGUUAUAAUCUCAUUUGCUAAAAACAACCUUGGACUCAAAGAGUAGAAUGUAUAAAAAAUAGUGGGUUAAUGUUACUUGCUUAUUCUAAGCUAAGUUUGACAACAGUAUACCUGGAGCUUUUUUAGUUUAGGUGUUUUUGGUCCUGAAAUCUGUGUUUGUACUUUUAUUUUUCCUUAUUAAAAACUUGUUUGUAGGUGUUAUCGCAUUGUUCUGUUUUAAUAUUUUAAUCCAGUUUACCAGAGUAACAGUUUCACUGUAAAUGUUAAAAAUACUCAAAGAAAAUGUUUAAAAUACUCAAAGAAAUUGAGUAAAUUGCUUCUAAGUAAUUAAAAGUAAUCUUUUUUAAAAUGUGAAAUCAAGGCCACCUAAUGAGCAGUGACUUGGUCUUUAUUGAUUUUAUACACAAUGAAAUAAUUAUCAAAAAAUAAAGAAUUGUAAGCACUGCAAUCUCAUGCAUGUCAUGUUUGGUUUUGUUAUAUGGAUCACAUGUGGGUGUUGUAUUGACCGAGAAUCCAAAUGUUUUUCAUAU